AGUGCGGCAGGAAUGGAUUAGAAGGAUAAGGCUUCUAGAUGGCCUUGCAAGGUAAGGAAAUCAGGUUUCUAGAAGCUAAGGUGCGGCACUAAGGGAUAAGGAUAAGGUUUAGGUGUCCUAAAUGGAUAAGGUGCCCUAAAUGGAUAAGGACUCCUCAUUUCAUUUGGAAACUUUGCCUAUUAGGAUUAGGAAACCAUGUCUUUGUCUUUCCUUCUUCAUCUUGGAAUCCUUUUCCUUCUUGGACUUGGAAAACAUGUUGCUUCUCUUGAGACCAUUUGGAUUUUGACUUUCCUACUCCAAGUAGGAAACCUUGUUUGAGUAGGAAUCUUUAUCUUCUAGGAAUCCCAAUUUCACUAGGAAACCUACUUCAACUAGGAUUCCAUCUUCAAUUAGGGACUUUCCUACUUCAACUAGGAAACUUGUUAAGUAGGAAACAUCAUCUUCAAAUCUUCAAUUUCGUCAUCCUCUUGGCUCCAAGCAUAUGACAUCCAUUCCAAGCUCAAAUGUGCUCCAAAAGGCUCCAAAAUGCAUCAUUUUGCAUACUUUGCCCUUAAAACCUGAAAAUACAUAAAACUAGCUCAAAAGACUACUUUAACUAAGGAAAAACAACGUAAAUGCACAAGAACAAGCUAACUAAGGCGCAUAAAUAUACUCCUAUCAUGAAGCUGUACUACGAGCACUUUGUGGAGCAUGUUGUGGAGGAGAUCCCACUGCAUGCCCUGGGUUCCCAUGAAGGUUGAUCAAUGUGGCAUCGUCCGGCUGGAAGACGUUAAAGCAAGUGCUUCAAGGGAGGUAACCCAUUUAUUUUGCUUGAAUUGUCAAUAUUUUUGCUUGUUUAAUUAUUUUUGGGGUAUGACUUUCUAUUUUGAAAC
rnacentral:lncRNA from 1 species